rnacentral:rRNA from 1 species
UGUUGCUGGCCCUCUCGGGGGCAUGUGCACACCCACCAUCCUCAUCUCUCCACCUGUGCACCUCUUGUAGACCUGGAUUGACUUUCCGAGGCAACUCGGUCGGGAAGAUUGCUGCGCUCUGUGAGCCAGCUUUCUUUGCAUGUCCAGGCCUAUGUUUUUCAUAUACCCCUAUAGAAUGUAACAGAAUGUAUCAUUGGGCCUUGUGCCUAUAAACCUUAUACAACUUUCAGCAACGGAUCUCUUGGCUCUCGCAUCGAUGAAGAACGCAGCGAAAUGCGAUAAGUAAUGUGAAUUGCAGAAUUCAGUGAAUCAUCGAAUCUUUGAACGCACCUUGCGCUCCUUGGUAUUCCGAGGAGCAUGCCUGUUUGAGUGUCAUUAAAUUCUCAACCUUAUUAACUUUUGUUGAUAAUGGAUUGGAUUGUGGGGGUUUCUUUUGCUGGCUUCUUCACAGAGAUCAGCUCCCCUUAAAUGCAUUAGCUGGUGCCCCGCGUGGACCAUCUAUUGGUGUGAUAAUUAUCUACGCCGUGGAUGUCUGCAAUCAUAUGGGUUUCGCACUGCUUCUAACCGUCUGUUCAUUCGGACAAUACAUGACAAUUUGACCUCAAAUCAGGUAGGACUACCCGCUGAACUUAAGCAUAUCAAUAAGCGGAGGAAAAGAAACUAACAAGGAUUCCCCUAGUAACUGCGAGUGAAGCGGGAAAAGCUCAAAUUUAAAAUCUGGCGGUCUCCGGCCGUCC